rnacentral:rRNA from 1 species
AUUGAACGCUGGCGGCAGGCCUAACACAUGCAAGUCGAGCGAGCGGCGGACGGGUGCGUAAUGUCUGGGAAACUGCCUGUUGGCUGGGGAUAACUACUGGACACGGUAUCUAAUACCGCACACCAUCAGCUUUGCCCAGAUGGGAUUAGCUAGUAGGGGGGGUAACGGCUCACCUAGGCGACGAUCCCUCGCUGGUCUGCGAGGAGGACCAGCAACACUGGAACUGAGACACGGGCCAGACUCCUACGGGAGGCAGCAGUGGGGAAUAUUGCACAAUGGGCGCAAGCCUGAUGCAGCCAGGCCGCGUGUGUGAAGAAGGCCUUCGGGUUGUAAAGCACUUUCAGCGGGGAGGCGUUACCCGCAGAAGAAGCACCGGCUAACUCCGUGCCAGCAGCCGCGGUAAUAC